CACGUAGGGAGCAAGCGUUGUCCGGAUUUAUUGGGCGUAAAGAGCUCGUAGGUGGUUCGGUAAGUCAGGUGUGAAACCUCCAGGCUCAACCUGGAGACGCCACUUGAUACUGCUGUGACUGGAGUCCGGUAGGGGAGCGUGGAAUUCCUGGUGUAGCGGUGAAAUGCGCAGAUAUCAGGAGGAACACCGGUGGCGAAGGCGGAUCUCUGGGCCUUACCUGACGCUCAGGCGCGAAAGCUAGGGGAGCGAACUGG
rnacentral:rRNA from 1 species